rnacentral:rRNA from 1 species
UACGUAGGGUGCAAGCGUUAUCCGGAAUUAUUGGGCGUAAAGAGCUCGUAGGCGGUUUGUCGCGUCUGCUGUGAAAACCGGAGGCUCAACCUCCGGCCUGCAGUGGGUACGGGCAAACUAGAGUGCGGUAGGGGAGAUUGGAAUUCCUGGUGUAGCGGUGGAAUGCGCAGAUAUCAGGAGGAACACCGAUGGCGAAGGCAGGUCACUGGGCCGCAACUGACGCUGAGGAGCGAAAGCAUGGGGAGCGAACAGG